rnacentral:rRNA from 1 species
GAUGAACGCUGGCGGCGUGCCUAACACAUGCAAGUCGAGCGAACGCACGAGAAGCUUGCUCUCCUGAUGUUAGCGGCGGACGGGUGAGUAACACGUGGAUAACCUACCUCUAAGACUGGGAUAAUAUCGGGAAACCAGAUCUAAUACCGGAUAAUAUUUCGAACCGCAGGGUUCAAAAGUGAAAGACGCUUUUGCUGACAGUUAAAGACGAAUCCGCGCUGCAUUAGCUAGUGGGUAAGGUAACGGCCUACCAAGGCGACGAGGCGUAGCCGACCUGAGAGGUUGAUCGGCCACACUGGAACUGAGACACGGUCCAGACUCCUACGGGAGGCAGCAGUAGGGAAUAUUCCGCAAUGGGCGAAAGCCUGAUAGAGCAACACCGCGUGAGUGAUGAAGGUCUUCGGAUCGUAAAGCUCUGUUGUUAGGAAAGAACAAAAGUGUAGUUAACUGUGCACAUCUUGACGGUACCUAAAGAAUAAGCCACGGCUAACUACGUG